rnacentral:lncRNA from 1 species
GGCAUUUGAGACAAUCCUUGUGGGUGCCGUGGAGAGAUAGCCUGGAGAGGAGGAAGGAAGGAAGCUACAGUCUACAGCCAUCCCUCCUGGUCUCCACAAGUCCAGGGCACCUUCUGAAUGGGAGGAGACGACGUUCCUGGUGAAGCUGAGCUGAGGGCACGUUCAUCCCUUCACUGGCAUAGCUCCUCAGGAUUCCAGAGUAUACUGAAGACCAACUGAGGCACCCAGACUUGUGGACUGAACAACCAUUGGGACUUCUUGAUAGGCAGCUACUGUUGGACUAGCCGGACCACAGCCUGUAAGCCACUCGAAUAAAUUUCAUACAUAUAUGGAAUAUA